CUGGUCCUACGGGAGGCAGCAGUGGGGAAUAUUGCACAAUGGGGGAAACCCUGAUGCAGCAACGCCGCGUGAGUGAAGAAGUGUUUCGGUAUGUAAAGCUCUAUCAGCAGGGAAGAAGAAAGACGGUACCUGACUAAGAAGCCCCGGCUAACUACGUGCCAGCAGCCGCGGUAAUACGUAGGGGGCAAGCGUUAUCCGGAUUUACUGGGUGUAAAGGGAGCGUAGACGGCUGUGCAAGUCUGAAGCGAAAUCCCGUGUCU
rnacentral:rRNA from 1 species